GACGUAGGAUGCAAGCGUUGUCCGGAAUUAUUGGGCGUAAAGCGUACGUAGGCGGCUCUUUAAGUUUGGGGUUAAAGACCGAGGCUCAACCUCGGGAGUGCCCUGAAUACUGGGGAGCUGGAGGACGGCAGAGGAAAGUGGAAUUCCCAGUGUAGCGGUGAAAUGCGUAGAUAUUGGGAGGAACACCAGUGGCGAAAGCGACUUUCUGGGCCGUUCCUGACGCUGAGGUACGAAAGCCAGGGGAGCAAACGGG
rnacentral:rRNA from 1 species